rnacentral:rRNA from 1 species
ACACAUGCAGUCGAGGGGUAACAGAUCUUCGGAUGCUGACGACCGGCGAACGGGUGAGUAACACGUAUGCAACUUACCCAUAACUCGGGAAUAGCCCAAAGAAAUUUGGAUUAAUACCCAAUAAUACAGGCGUACCGCAUGGUAUUCUUCGUUAAAGAAUAAUCGGUUAUGGAUAGGCAUGCGUUCUAUUAGGUAGUUGGUGAGGUAACGGCUCACCAAGCCGACGAUGGAUAGGGGAACUGAGAGGUUGUCCCCCCACACUGGUACUGAGACACGGACCAGACUCCUACGGGAGGCAGCAGUGAGGAAUAUUGGUCAAUGGACGAAAGUCUGAACCAGCCAAAUCGCGUGAAGGAAGAAGGUAUUAUGUAUCGUAAACUUCUUUUGUAAGAGAGUAAAGUGCACUACGUGUAGUGUAUUGCAAGUACCUUACGAAUAAGCAUCGGCUAAUUCCGUGCCAGCAGCCGCGGUAAUACGGAAGAUGCAAGUGUUAUCCGGAUUUAUUGGGUUUAAAGGGUGCGUAGGUGGUCUAAUAAGUCAGUGGUGAAAUCUCUUUGCUUAACAAGGAAAUUGCCAUUGAAACUGUUAGACUUGAGAAUGGACGAGGUAGGCGGAAUUCGUAGUGUAGCGGUGAAAUGCAUAGAUAUUACGAAGAACUCCAAUAGUGUAGACUGCUUACCAGACCAUAUCUGACACUAAAGCACGAAAGUGUGGGUAUCAAACAGGAUUAGAUACCCUGGUAGUCCACACAGUAAACGAUGAAUACUAACUGUUUGCGAUAUACAGCAAGUGGUCGAGCGAAAGCGUUAAGUAUUCCACCUGGGAAGUAUGCCGGCACGGUGAAACUCAAGGAAUUGACGGGGCCCGCACAAGCGGAGAACAUGUGGUUUAUCGAUAUACGCGAGAACUACUCGGGCUCGACGAUAUUUGAUACAUCCGAAAGAUGUAGCUAGCAUACAAAUACGANUGCUGCA